rnacentral:rRNA from 1 species
UACGCAGGGGGCAAGCGUUGUCCGGAUUUAUUGGGCGUAAAGAGCGUGUAGGCGGCCAGGUAGGUCCGCUGUGAAAACUCGAGGCUCAACCUCGAGAGGUCGGUGGAAACCGUCUGGCUAGAGUCCGGAAGAGGAGAGUGGAAUUCCCGGUGUAGCGGUGAAAUGCGUAGAGAUGUGGAGGAACACCGAUGGCGGAAGGCAGCCUCCUGGGCCAGC